rnacentral:rRNA from 1 species
AGAGUUUGAUCCUGGCUCAGAUUGAACGCUGGCGGCAUGCCUUACACAUGCAAGUCGAACGGCAGCGCGGGGCAACCUGGCGGCGAGUGGCGAACGGGUGAGUAAUAUAUCGGAACGUACCCAAGAGUGGGGGAUAACGUAGCGAAAGUUACGCUAAUACCGCAUACGAUCUAAGGAUGAAAGCAGGGGACCGCAAGGCCUUGUGCUCCUGGAGCGGCCGAUAUCUGAUUAGCUAGUUGGUAGGGUAAAGGCCUACCAAGGCUACGAUCAGUAGCUGGUCUGAGAGGACGACCAGCCACACUGGAACUGAGACACGGUCCAGACUCCUACGGGAGGCAGCAGUGGGGAAUUUUGGACAAUGGGCGAAAGCCUGAUCCAGCAAUGCCGCGUGAGUGAAGAAGGCCUUCGGGUUGUAAAGCUCUUUUGUCAGGGAAGAAACGGUGCGGGCUAAUAUCCUGCACUAAUGACGGUACCUGAAGAAUAAGCACCGGCUAACUACGUGCCAGCAGCCGCGGUAAUACGUAGGGUGCAAGCGUUAAUCGGAAUUACUGGGCGUAAAGCGUGCGCAGGCGGUUUUGUAAGUCUGAUGUGAAAUCCCCGGGCUCAACCUGGGAAUUGCAUUGGAGACUGCAAGGCUAGAAUCUGGCAGAGGGGGGUAGAAUUCCACGUGUAGCAGUGAAAUGCGUAGAGAUGUGGAGGAACACCGAUGGCGAAGGCAGCCCCCUGGGUCAAGAUUGACGCUCAUGCACGAAAGCGUGGGGAGCAAACAGGAUUAGAUACCCUGGUAGUCCACGCCCUAAACGAUGUCUACUAGUUGUCGGGUUUUAAUUAACUUGGUAACGCAGCUAACGCGUGAAGUAGACCGCCUGGGGAGUACGGUCGCAAGAUUAAAACUCAAAGGAAUUGACGGGGACCCGCACAAGCGGUGGAUGAUGUGGAUUAAUUCGAUGCAACGCGAAAAACCUUACCUACCCUUGACAUGUCCAGAAUCCUGCAGAGAUGUGGGAGUGCCCGAAAGGGAAUUGGAACACAGGUGCUGCAUGGCUGUCGUCAGCUCGUGUCGUGAGAUGUUGGGUUAAGUCCCGCAACGAGCGCAACC